rnacentral:rRNA from 1 species
AGGUGCGGCUGGAUCA